CUUAUAGAUAAUGGGGAACAGUUACCCAAACCUAGCUUUUUUGUAGCACAUUAUUGAGUGCAAAUGUCUAACAAACUCUUCCCUUUUUAAGGAUAUGACAAACUCAAACCAUAUGGGUUUGCAGUACAUGGUGCUGUUUGUGGUUACAGCAGAAGAAUUCUGUGGCUUGAGGUUGUCAGAUCAAACAAAAAUCCAAAUGUAAUUGCAGAAAUAUUUCUUAUUGCUGUUAAGGAGUUUGGAGGCUGCACAUUGUGGGACAGAAAAUGUUUUAUUGUCUGCAAUGCAAUGCUACCUGAGAGCUGAUGGAGAUGAUGAAUGGGCAGGGGAGAAAGCUCAUGUUUAUGGAUCCUCUCCUUCAAAUCAAAGAAUUGAAGCAUGGUGGUCUUUCCUGAGAUGAACUGGGUCAGGCUGGUGGAUUGACUUUUUCCAAGAUAUGGCACAAAAAGGUCGCAGCAUGAAACCGUAUCAGGAGUUCCAGACAUUUUGUUCUUUCUGCCAGAAUACUAUGGGGGUGAAAACUGCCUAAUAGAGAUUUCUGCUGAUAAGCUGAAUGAAAUGGAAGAGAGAAUUGACCCAUGCAUUUGUGAGGACAUUUACAAAGAAUAUUUUGAUUAUGUCUUGGAAAACAAAAAUUUGGCAUAUCCCGAAGACAUAAAUGAAGGAUUUAAAAUUUUUCAACAUUUAAUUAAUGUACCACAAUGAAGUUAGUGUUAAUUAUAUAGAUUAUCACACAACAUAAUAAAAGUUAAAUAAAGUAAA